rnacentral:rRNA from 1 species
CUGGUGGAUCCUACCAGUGAUAUACGCUCGUCUCAAAGGUUAAGCCAUGCAUGUCUAAGUACAAGCUUCCUAGAAAGUGAAACCGCAUAAGGCUCAGUAUAACAGCUAUAAUUUACAAGAUCCUCAUCCAAACAGUUACUUGGAUAACUGUGGAAAAGCCAGAGCUAAUACAUGCAUUAUGCCGGGACUGUUGGCCUCCGGGUCGGCGGAACUGGUGCACUUAUUAGUUAAACCAAUCGCCUCCGGGCGCUUUGAGUUGAAAUCUGGAUAAGGAUGCCGAUCGUACGGUCGCUUGCGACUGACGACAGAUCUUUCAAAUGUCUGCCCUAUCAACUAUUGAUGGUAGUGUAGAGGACUACCAUGGUUGCGACGGGUAACGGGGAAUCAGGGUUCGAUUCCGGAGAGGGAGCCUGAGAAAUGGCUACCACAUCCAAGGAAGGCAGCAGGCGCGUAAAUUACCCAAUCCCGGCACGGGGAGGUAGUGACGAGAAAUAACAAUAUGGACCUCUCUAACGAUGGUCCAUAAUUGGAAUGAGUUGAGCAUAAAUCCUUUUGCAAGGAUCAAGUGGAGGGCAAGUCUGGUGCCAGCAGCCGCGGUAAUUCCAGCUCNNNNNNNNNNNNNN